UUUAAUAAAUCCGCACAUACAUCGACACAUUGUUCUGGGUGUUUAAAUAUUGGCUUUAGGGCCUGAUUUAGAUUGGAUAAUGGGAUGUAUGGAGGCCUAAC
rnacentral:sRNA from 1 species